rnacentral:rRNA from 1 species
UCCGUAGGUGAACCUGCGGAGGGAUCAUUACCGAGUUUACAACUCCCAAACCCCAAUGUGAACGUUACCAAUCUGUUGCCUCGGCGGGAUUCUCUUGCCCCGGGCGCGUCGCAGCCCCGGAUCCCAUGGCGCCCGCCGGAGGACCAACUCCAAACUCUUUUUUUCUCUCCGUCGCGGCUCCCGUCGCGGCUCUGUUUUAUUUUUGCUCUGAGCCUUUCUCGGCGACCCUAGCGGGCGUCUCGAAAAUGAAUCAAAACUUUCAACAACGGAUCUCUUGGUUCUGGCAUCGAUGAAGAACGCAGCGAAAUGCGAUAAGUAAUGUGAAUUGCAGAAUUCAGUGAAUCAUCGAAUCUUUGAACGCACAUUGCGCCCGCCAGUAUUCUGGCGGGCAUGCCUGUCCGAGCGUCAUUUCAACCCUCGAACCCCUCCGGGGGGUCGGCGUUGGGGAUCGGCCCCUCACCGGGCCGCCCCCGAAAUACAGUGGCGGUCUCGCCGCAGGCAUACGGAGUUUCACUCCCAACCCCAAUGUGAACGUUACCAAUCUGUUGCCUCGGCGGGAUUCUCUUGCCCCGGGCGCGUCGCAGCCCCGGAUCCCAUGGCGCCCGCCGGAGGACCAACUCCAAACUCUUUUUUUCUCUCCGUCGCGGCUCCCGUCGCGGCUCUGUUUUAUUUUUGCUCUGAGCCUUUCUCGGCGACCCUAGCGGGCGUCUCGAAAAUGAAUCAAAACUUUCAACAACGGAUCUCUUGGUUCUGGCAUCGAUGAAGAACGCAGCGAAAUGCGAUAAGUAAUGUGAAUUGCAGAAUUCAGUGAAUCAUCGAAUCUUUGAACGCACAUUGCGCCCGCCAGUAUUCUGGCGGGCAUGCCUGUCCGAGCGUCAUUUCAACCCUCGAACCCCUC